rnacentral:rRNA from 1 species
UACGAAGGGGGCUAGCGUUGCUCGGAAUCACUGGGCGUAAAGCGCACGUAGGCGGCUUUUUAAGUCAGGGGUGAAAUCCUGGAGCUCAACUCCAGAACUGCCUUUGAUACUGGGAAGCUUGAGUCCGGAAGAGGUGAGUGGAACUCCGAGUGUAGAGGUGAAAUUCGUAGAUAUUCGGAAGAACACCAGUGGCGAAGGCGGCUCACUGGUCCGGUACUGACGCUGAGGCACGAAAGCGUGGGGAGCAAACAGG